rnacentral:rRNA from 1 species
UAGAAUCCAUCACAUUAGUGGUACCUCCUGCCCAGUGACCUAUUCAACGGCCGCGGUAUCCUAACCGUGCAAAGGUAGCAUAAUCAUUUGCCCAUUAAUUGUGGGCUAGCAUGAAUGGAUAAACGAAGUAAGACCUGUCUCUAGCAGAUCCAUAAAAACUAAUCUCCAGGUGAAGAAGCCUGGAUCACAUCACAGGACAAGAAGACCCUAUAGAGCUUUAUUUAUAAUAUACUCCUAAAGUAUAAAAAAAUUCGGUUGGGGCGACCUGGGAACACAAAUCCUCCCUAAUAACUCAGACUAACAAGUCUCUCCAUAGAUCCUGUUUCAGAUCACAGAAUCAAGCUACCUUAGGGAUAACAGGCUAAUCCGUCUAAAGAGCCCAUAUCAAUAGACGGGAUUGGCACCUCGAUGUUGGCUUAGGGCACCUUUAUGAUGCAGCAGUCAUAAAUAGAUGGUUUGUUCAACCAAUAACACCCUACGUGAUCUGAGUU